UACAGAGGGGGCAAGCGUUGUUCGGAAUUACUGGGCGUAAAGGGCUCGUAGGCGGCCAACUAAGUCGGAUGUGAAAUCCCCAGGCUUAACCUGGGAACUGCAUCCGAUACUGGAUGGCUUGAAUCCGGGAGAGGGAUGCGGAAUUCCAGGUGUAGCGGUGAAAUGCGUAGAUAUCUGGAGGAACACCGGUGGCGAAGGCGGCAUCCUGGACCGGCAUUGACGCUGAGGAGCGAAAGCCAGGGGAGCAAACAGG
rnacentral:rRNA from 1 species